rnacentral:rRNA from 1 species
UACGGAGGGGGCAAGCGUUGUUCGGAAUCAUUGGGCGUAAAGGGCGCGUAGGCGGCCGAUCAAGUCGGGUGUGAAAUCCCUCGGCUCAACCGAGGAACUGCACUCGAUACUGAUUGGCUCGAGUCCGGGAGGGGAUGGUGGAAUUCCCAGUGUAGCGGUGAAAUGCGUAGAUAUUGGGAAGAACACCGGUGGCGAAGGCGGCCAUCUGGACCGGAACUGACGCUGAGGCGCGAAAGCCAGGGGAGCGAAUGGG